ensembl:miRNA
AGCACAGACGCCUCCAAGUGUGCAGGGCACUGAUGGGGGCCAGGGCAGGCCCAGCCAAAGUCCAGGACCUGGCACUUAGUCGGAGGUGAGGGUG